rnacentral:rRNA from 1 species
GGGGGGAGCAAACGUUUGUUCGGAAUCACUGGGCGUAAAGGGCGCGUAGGCGGCCCCGCAAGUGGUGUGUGAAAUGCCCUGGCUCAACCAGGGAACUGCGCACCAAACUGCGGAGCUUGAGGACAGUAGAGGAAGCUGGAAUUCCUGGUGUAGCGGUGAAAUGCGUAGAUAUCAGGAGGAACACCGUUGGCGAAGGCGAGCUUCUGGGCUGAUUCCUGACGCUGAGGCGCGAAAGCUGGGGGGGAGCAAACAGGAUUAGAUACCCUGGUAGUCCCAGCCGUAAACGGUGAACACUAGGUGUGGGGGGGUGUCGACCCCUUUCCGUGCCGUAGCUAACGCAUUAAGUGUUCCGCCUGGGGAGUACGGUCGCAAGGCUG